rnacentral:lncRNA from 1 species
GUGGAAGCCGCGUGCCUGGGGCGUAGACAGGGCUUAGAUCUUUUAGAAGAAAAGAAACCGAUUGCGGUAAAUCCUCUGGACUACGCCGGGUCCUCGGAAGCUGUGCGGUAGGUGUCAAUUUCCCCUCACAGACCAACCGAGAGAAAUCCAGGGUUAAGUGUCUCCUGCGACAGUGUCUUAAGAGCUCAGCUGACCGGUACGAUGCUGGGCAAAACCACGAAGGCAGGACUAGACUUACAAAACUCGAUUCCCAAGAUCGUGUGCUUUUAAGUGAGGGAGAAUAGUUGUUCGCGCUCCUUAAAAUGUGUUCAUUUAUGGAGGCGGGCACGAGCGUGUGUAUACACAUAUUGAGGUCAGACGAGUUGAGUCUUUUGUCUCUUUUCUACCAUGUGCAUCCAGGAAAAGAAACUAACUCUGGCAGCAAGCGUUUAUUUGCUGAGCCAUCUCGCCAACCUCAAUAUUCUCCUUUACAGCGUCUCCUUGAAUGCCAGGGUGUCUUUCUACCUCACCUAUGUUUUGGUUUGCUUUUCUCUGUGUAACAGAUUCCUGGCUGUCAUGGACUCGAUUUGUAGAUUAGGCUAGCUUCGAACUCAGAGAUUUGCCUGCCUCCGCCUCCUGAGCACCAUGCGUAGCUACUCACCCGUUCUUCAAGGUAGACUGUGUUGUACCCUGGGGUUUGCUGGAUACUCAUCACACAUGUGGCAGUCCUUGUGGAUCUGAGUAGAAAAUGGCCUGGUCCCUCCCAAAGCAGGAGUUUAAGAAUAUGGUGAUAGGACGCUGGGCUUUGUACCCUAAGGCCUUUGUCACAAACUAAAUACAAGAGGAAUUAGGAUCUUUGGACAGAGCAGUGUCAGAUGGCCCCACUGAUGUGUUUUGGUUGCUUUUAUUUCAUAUUGGAUUUGGCCCUGGCAACUCUGGAAGCUUUUUCAUUUCACAACAGGUACAUGUACUCAGGGCAACCCAGCUGUGGUUUCACCUCCUCAAAUGGCCCUGUAAUGGGGAGUGGGGCCAUUCUGCAACAAACCUCAGAAAUUCCUACUGGCUCUGAAACGGGUUCUGGGUUGGCUUUGGUACCAACCAGACCAGGAGGUAUGUUCUAAGACUUAAACCAUGAAGCUGCUGUUUUAUGAAUAACUGUUAUCUUUGAAAUUAAGAAGAUAUGGAUGAGUGAAAAAAAAAUACUAGACACCUAAUCUUGGCUUAAUUGUGUAUGUGGGAGAGAGGGGGUAGAUCAUUACUAUAUAACGAAGGUGACAUCUUAGUGGACACCUGUCAGGUAUGGAGGCAGCCUUGGGUCUGCCUGCAGCUGCUAGCCCAGGGCUAGGGCCAGAAAAUAGUUAUGUACAUCUGGGCCAUGCAAUCUCCCUGAUGGGCAGGGAAGGUGUACACCAUGUCACUAAGAGGCUCCUCUAGGUGGGUGACCAAGGGGAUGUUGUUGACCAUGAAUCAAUGAAAAGCAGAUAGAGAGGCCCUGCCUGCCGCUACAAAAUAAAGCUAAAGGGAUGUCACCAAGGCUGGCAUAGUAGGUAUGGAUGUGGGCUCCAGGCACUUACCCCUGUAGGAAAGGCCAGAUUUAGCUAUACAUGUGCAAAUGAGAAAUGAUUCCAAAACUGGUUUGUGCAAAUAUUUUUUUUAUUUCCACAUUUAUAUCACAAGUUGUCCACUUACUGGACCAAAUAGCAAAGUUGCUCCCUUCUGCGCGAACACAGAAGUCUAGGUACUGUACAUUCACUAAGGCUCCUUGUUUUUGCAAAUCGCGUUUAUGACCAUAAGGCAAACGAAUCUAAAGGAAUGGUUAUGAGUGUUUCCAGCCAACAGACGGCUCUUCCCUAGCCCACCAGGGCAACUCACACCAGUAGCACCCUCGGGAACUUUGUGGGUUAAAGACUCUAGAAAGAUGGCAUUUUUCUAGAGUUGUGCAGAAAAGGAAAGAAGGGAAGGAAAAGUCAUUUGGCUGGUGGUAGGGGAAAAAAGAGAAUGAAAUAAAUGAGAAAACUC